ACGUAAAAAUGUUCAUCAAACGUCUGACCUGAAAUGAGCAUAUAGACAAAGUUAACACUGAAGGA
ensembl:snoRNA